AAAGUGGAAAGAGUUCUUAAGGGACACCUGCUAAUCAGGUUGUCAUCUUUCCCUUAACUGAGUAGAAGUUUCUACAGACCAUGGAUACAAAUAAUUUCUCAUCCAGGAGGAAUUUGAGUGACACUGGCUUCUUGGGGUGCUCCUUUAGGAACAAAAGUAAAUUGUCCCAAGAAAAAAGUGCUCGUUAAAUCGUGAGGAUAUGCAACCUAAUAUAUGAGAAGCCCGGAUGUCUGAAGCCUUCAGAAUGGCAACAGCAAAAGACUGCUUAAUUAAGAAAUGGCAGAGUCGUCUAAACCCAGCAAGAGGGCAACCAUUCAGCAUUCACCCCAUCACUGAUCUGCUUUUUAAUCUUCUCCAGCUCAUCAACUUCUUUCUUUUCUUAAUAACGACUUUAUUGGGUUGUGUUUCUCUUGAGGUUUGAGAAUGGAGAAAGAGAUAUCUAUGAAAAUUUCAGGACUGUGUCAUUGAUGCUGUCUUUCUCCAGUGACUUACUUCAACACGCAUGACUACUGGGCCAACAUUGUCAGUGAAAGAAUGCUCCUCUGUUACACCUUUGACUGCAGCUGGCAUCAUAAGAUAGAAGUCCAGUGGAACACCUCACUCAGUAACGGGCAGCUUUGUUUCCAGUAGGCCUUGCAGACUGCAGUUUGACAGCUGCAGGAGGAGAUGAAAUCCAGAAACUGACAGUGCUCCACACCUCCACAGAAGUGCAGAUUUCACUGUAGUCUGGAAUACCCUUGAAGGUGAUGGAG